GGAUUAGAUACCCUGGUAGUCCACGCCGUAAACGAUGUGGAGCCGGUGUCGGUGGGUGAUUGCGCCCAUCGGCGCCUAAGCUUACGCGCUGACUCCACCGCCUGGGAACUACGGCCGCAAGGCUAAAACUCAAAGGAAUUGACGGGGGCCCGCACAAGCAGCGGAGCGUGUGGUUUAAUUCGACGCAACACGAAGCACCUCACCCAGGUUGGACAUGCAGCUGCAGGCCGUGGAAACACGGCGGCCUUCGAGGGAGCUGCACCGGUGCUGCAUGGCUGUCGUCAGCUCGUGCCG
rnacentral:rRNA from 1 species